GUAAGAUUUUAGAUACAAGUCUUUAUCAAAUGUACACAUUACAAAUAUUUUCUACCAAUCUGUAGCCACCUGUUCAUUUUUUGAUAAUGUCUUGUGAUAAGCAGAAAUUUUUAAUUUUGUGGAAGUCCUUGCUACCCCUUUAAAGUACAAUUGACACGGAAAUCAUGUAAAGUGCAAUCAUAAUCUGAUAAGCAUUUGUCACGUCCAGAAGAAUGCACACUGGGGCCCAAAUGGGUUUUCAGUAAGAGACCUCGAUCUGUCGCUGCCUUCUGCUCCAGGGUUUCUUCCACCACUCUGACCUGACUAAAUGGCUCUCCAGUUUUAAGUCUUUUCCCCCCUGACUUUUAAGAUCAUUUUGAAUGAUUCACUGACUUCUAAUAUUUUAGUGUACUGUCUUAUUUAUGCCACCAAAUUGAGAUUUAUCUGGACUCCUUUUUCAAAGUCAACAAAAUGGGUAUUAAUAAGGAACAGGCACUCGAUAUAUUUUCCAGGUUGCCAAAAGCUAACAGGUCCCUAGCAGGAGAUCUACUUUUAUAGGCUUUUAUUACUGGAUUUCUUAAACCUGGUAGCCAUCAGGUGAAAUCCUGACUGAGCAUACUGUGCCCACAUCAGCAUUUGUCUUUGUCUUCUUUGGAACACGAUGGAACACCAGUCAGUGAAUACAUGUGGUGAAAAAGGAUGCACAAUCUUUAUCAGGCAAUGAUGAAUGAACUGAAUACUGAAAUUUAAACUGGUAAUAAAUGGUGCUGCCUAGACUUUAUUAUUUAAAA